GACGAACGCUGGCGGCGUGCUUAACACAUGCAAGUCGAACGGAAAGGCCCUGCUUUUGUGGGGUGCUCGAGUGGCGAACGGGUGAGUAACACGUGAGUAACCUGCCCUUGACUUUGGGAUAACUUCAGGAAACUGGGGCUAAUACCGGAUAGGAGCUCCUGCUGCAUGGUGGGGGUUGGAAAGUUUCGGCGGUUGGGGAUGGACUCGCGGCUUAUCAGCUUGUUGGUGGGGUAGUGGCUUACCAAGGCUUUGACGGGUAGCCGGCCUGAGGGGGUGACCGGCCACAUUGGGACUGAGAUACGGCCCAGACUCCUACGGGAGGCAGCAGUGGGGAAUAUUGCACAAUGGGCGGAAGCCUGAUGCAGCAACGCCGCGUGCGGGAUGACGGCCUUCGGGUUGUAAACCGCUUUCGCUUGUGACGAAGCGUGAGUGACGGUAAUGGGUAAAGAAGCACCGGCUAACUACGUG
rnacentral:rRNA from 1 species